CUUUGUAAAGUCGACUAGCGAGCGUAGAGUCGAACACAUUGAACGAGCGACGAUUACGACCGACAUAUACUAUCUCUGUACAGGAUUUCGACCAGCGUUAUUUGUACGUAUCUGCAAGACGAAUACUUUCACGUAACGCGCAGAGGAACAGCGUGACGAGGAAAAUCGAGGAAGUUUCAUGGCCUGCGCAUCGGUGUCGAGGGUUGCAAGCAGACGCAGAGGUAUGGCAAGCACGUGGCACACGUGACUACACGGCGCAUAAGGCACUCGAACGUGGAUAUGGAGUGCGAAGAUGAAAGCGGAAGACAGCGCACGAGAGAGGCUCUCUGUACGGCAAGGGGGAAUCCAGGGUGGCCGGAAAGUUGUCGGUAUAACGCGAGCCGCUUCUGCCGGUUGUCGAGUCUGCGCAUUCACCCGGCCGGAUUUAAUUGGAUGGACACCAUCGCUCGGUGCUUAAUUAACUAAUUAAUUUCGCGCGGGAUACGAACGCGCGGAAAGAUACCGCCGCCUGGUCUCUUUGCUUUUAAUGACUUUGGUAGCGCGCGUUUUCCAACUUGAAAAUUCCAUCCGUUCAUCAACCGAAUGAAAAAUAUGCUAUCUAAAGCGAAUGGGGAUAAUAGGAAUACGAACGAAUUGAAAGUUCAUUGGAGAAAGACACACGGAAGGAAGAUUAUUCGCGUGGCGUGACGGCGGUCGUUUACGGAGGAAAACAUAAAUAACCGUGGCGAAGACAGACCACCGUGCGAAUUUAAAAGCGUCCCGCUCAGCGGCGCGACCGCGUAAAUUCGUUCCGGUUUAAUUAAAUUUAAAUGAUUGUUUCGGCUUUCGAUUCAAGUGGCCGAGCUCGUUCGUCACCAGGGGACAAGCGAACGCUAGAGUCCAGUAGAAGCCGCCAUUUAUCAACGGGUUCGCAUAAAUCGCCGAUAUGAACAUCCGCGCUGGUCUCUAAGCUCGCACGCGCGUAUACUUUUCGUCGGGACGCUUCCUGCAAUUAUAACGAGGCCCAUCUCGCGGCUGAGCGCCACCUUUGUGUCGUCUGUAAAGAGAGAACGACGGAGGUAACAAGCGCUGUCCCCUUGUCCUUAGCACCAUAGUGUCGUUCAUCGUGUUAAAGCGGCCGGGCAAAAUUUUCGUUUCAUAAAACACAUGUCACCGUCGCUGCCGUGGCGCAAGAAACUCGCUCGUUCAGGGCGGACGCCAGAGAAUAGGCCACGGCUUUUAAGGGUGGUAAAAAAAGAAAAACCUCUAUUGCCGGACUAAGUGGCGAAGCGAGGGUGCGAGUAGCCGAGAACGCCGAGGGAACGAGUUGGUUCGUUACGGAUAAAGGAUAGGCUUUAAAUGAACCUUUAAAAGCGAAGGAGAACGAAGAAGAAAGCAGUGUAUGGAGCACAGGAAAUUAACUUUCGCCCAAGUUUUCCACAAUUUGACACGAAAGCAGAAUUCAUAGUAGCUUGCUCGAUACGGUGAAGUGUUGAAUUGACUUGUAAUUUGUAGAGGUUUAGGAGGAGCGAAAAUCGGCCUUCCAUACACGUUUUUUCUUUGCGAUGUUCGACAGCCUUACAUUCGCCAGCUGUUUCAUUAGAACAUCAGUAGACAGGGGCCCCAUGUACAGUGCUUUAUACGACUUUUUUCGUGCGAUCGUUUAAUUCGCGAAUUUUCCAGAUACCAUUGAAUAAUCAUUGAUAAUUGUAGCUUAUGGCUGUAGAUGUUACUGCUAUUUUUCUUCUAAUUUAGAUGCGUGGAAGAAAAAUCGGACCGCGGGCGCCGGGAAUCGAACCCGCGUCCCGAACGUUCGUAACCAAAAACGCUAACCACUGCGCUGUCGUCGGCCGGAUGUUAGUUAGCGUCGAAUGGCGGUAUCUGUUGUCGAGUGUCGCCAUAUUUGUAAAUAUUUCCGCGCUUCUUGACAGUAUUUAUUAUACUUUGCCCAUAGGAAUUAAUAAGUCGAAAAAUUCAUCUGUUACUGAUAUGAUAGAUUUGCACAAAACGCAUUCGUCACAGAAGCUUCGAUUUCCUGUAUGUAUAAUGAGCAAAGUCCAAGCACAGUGCAAACUUGAUUUUGGUUUGACAUCUUUUGCGAGGUUAUCAAUUACCAUACACUUUUCGCUUCGAGUGCGCCACCCCAAAUAUCCGCCAAACGAUGCACAUACGAGUGCCAUCUGUAGUCAAUUUUUUUCGUUAUCGGCAAAACAUUUUCUCUUGAUUUUAUCGACAUAUUGGAUUAAUCACUUCUCCAAGAUUGAUGCGUUUGUGAAACGGUAUUUCAUGUACGAUUUUGCAAGAAUUAUUGUUAUUUAAGACUCGAGAAAACGUAUAUACAGCAACCACGCUCACUGUGCGUAUUUCUGGCGCGAGUUUCCCUUCAGUGACAGACUUCGGCGGACUGGGCUGCCGAAGCGAAAGGGUUAAAGCACUGAACAGCCUUGUAACACGACGUUCUUCUUUUUCUGAUAGAAAUCUCGAGAAGAUUACAGUGUACUUGUCACGAGUCUAGUUCUUUCAGAUUUCCGUCGGUUCUCUUUCCCAUUGAUACAUUAUUAAUACGCUUAAUUAAUUAAUUCUCUGGUCGAUAUUAUGGAGAUCAGAUGAUAAAGUAUGCGCAAUAAUUAAUACACAUUACACGUGCGGAAAAUCCAUAAAGAUUUUAUUUAUGUAGCUUAUUAAAGAAUAAUCGACGCGAGUAUGAAGAAUGCUUCGAUGUUAUCAGAAUGAUAAGUAAUUACGCCUUUCUACCGAUAAAUUCCAAUUAAUUUCUACACUCAUCAACUUACAGUUGCCCGCUCUGAACUCGAUAUAUCGCAAGCUAAACACGCGUAACAAUACGCGAGGACGCGGCAGAGGACACGGUCGCCGAUCGAUAUAGUAGAUUAGGAAGCGAAAAAAGUUGGCCGAUAAACAGAGCGGCCGAGCCGAGUCGCGAGCGCGUUUGCCUUCAACUCGACUAAUAGCAGUCAUUUUCGGAUGGAUGCUCGAAGGUUCUCGAGUUUCAUAGGCAUCGCGAGGACGCUCGAGUUAAAGAAUGGUGGAAGAGGAAGGCCUAUGUCUGCGGCAGGAGACGGUAGACGGAAGGAGGAAAA